rnacentral:rRNA from 1 species
CCUACGGGAGGCAGCAGUGAGGAAUAUUGGUCAAUGGUAGAGAUCCUGAACCAGCCAAGCCGCGUGAGGGAAGACGGCCCUAUGGGUUGUAAACCUCUUUUGUCGGAGAACAAAACCCGGGACGUGUCCCGGACUGCGUGUAUCCGAAGAAAAAGCAUCGGCUAACUCCGUGCCAGCAGCCGCGGUAAUACGGAGGAUGCGAGCGUUAUCCGGAUUUAUUGGGUUUAAAGGGUGCGUAGGCGGUCCGUUAAGUCAGCGGUAAAAUUGCGGGGCUCAACCCCGUCGAGCCGUUGAAACUGGCAGACUGGAGUUGGAGAGAAGUACGCGGAAUGCGCGGUGUAGCGGUGAAAUGCAUAGAUAUCGCGCAGAACUCCGAUUGCGAAGGCAGCGUACCGGCGCCAGACUGACGCUGAGGCACGAAAGCGUGGGGAUCGAACAGGAUUAGAUACCCCUGUAGUC